UUUUUCUUUAAAAAACCAAAGUUCUGCACAUGUACGCAUUUUAAAUCAUGGAAGAAUAAUCCCAUUCACAAUUCCAGUCCAUCCAUCUGCUUUUCCUAUACCAAUCGGCUGCUGAGGUCUAAGGGCUGACAGGUGUAGUGAGGCCUUGGGCCGCCCACCAGCAAGGUUUAAGUGCUUGCCAGUCAGCUCGGGGCCCUGCAGGUGGGCCUGGAAGUUUCCUGGGCCCUGUGAAAGGAGAUCUACUCUGGCUUCGUCUCUAAGUGCCUGGGUCUUGGGGGCUCCUGGAAGUCAACUUGCUGGACAGGUCUCUGGCCACUUCUGGCCCUGGGAACGUAGAGCAGCUUCUGCAUCUCCCGGACUCACCUCGGAGUAGGCUCUGUGGGAGGCACCGCCCGAUGCAUCGUCAUGGGCCUUGUGAAAUACACCAGGUAACCUAAAGAAGGAGGUAUCACGUGAGCCAUCAGUGUCAACAAGCUGGCCGUGGGAAAUCCUGAGGCAGGACUGGCCAGUCUUUCUUCUAUCUCUGUACACCUGAGGGUAAGACACAUUUUCAUAAGCUGCAAGACUCCUGACUGCAGUCACCCUUACCAGGAACAAAGGUCAGCGCUCCAGGGUCCAGGAGAGAGGAUGUAUGUGGACUGGGCAGAGUCAUCAGCGGGACUCUAAGCCUCCCUACCAGGGGACUGACCCCUGCUAAGAAUCAGGGCUCUGAGUAAAGACUGAAAUCCAAGCUCAUCAGAAUGAAGAAAGUUAAGACCCCCAUUCUGGUGCACCCCCUUAGGAUAAGUCCACAGACACCGACUGGGCCUCAGACCCUGCCACACUACUAUGAAAGUCUCCUUUGAGUUCUCCGGAGUAAAAGCAAACGUUUUCUGAUGAAGAUGUUUAUACAGAAUCUAUGACAUUCUUAGCUGCUCCCUCUCAAAAUCUAGAAUCAGAGAACCAAAGAGACCCACCUGCUCUACAGAACCUGGCCCCAGAAGUCCUAGGAAAGGGAAUGUUGGCGUCCUGGUACGACCCGUAGGCCGCGGUCACCCGUGCAAAUGUCAGUAAGGGGGUGUGACAGAGUUGGGGAGCACAAACCGGUUGCUGGAAGCGCUGUCUUCCUGGUUCUGAAAUUUAAAAAUCCACAAACUAGGCUGGGUGCAAUGGCUCACGCCUGUAAUCCCAGCACUUUGGGAGGCCAAGGCGGGUGGAUCACCUGAGGUCAGGAGUUCAAGAACAGCCUGGCCACCAUGGCGAAAUGCCGUCUCUGCUAAAAAUACAAAAAUUAGGCGAGCGUGGUGGCAGGUGCCUAUAAUCCCAGCUACUCGGGAGGCUGAGGCAGGAGAAUCACUUGAACCCGGGAGACGGAGCUUGCAGUGAGCCGAGAUCACACCACUGUACUCCAGCCUGGGUGACAGAGCAAGACUCCGUCUCAAAAAAAAAAAAUCCACAAUCUGUCUUAAAGCUGAGUUACAAAAUAAAGACCCGACAUUACAAAACCAGAAAAUCCAUGAUUUUAGGAGAAAGAAAUAAAACAAAACACCAAAGCAUAAGUUGGUACGACAGUUUCCUGCUUCCCACCGCAAAGGACUCAAGGCAGGAGACGAGCUGGCACAGGCAGGGCUCCAGGCAGCUCUGGCCACGCUUCACUUUCUGCAGGGCUGUGUCCUCACAUGCCCCCAGGUUUCUAGAGGAAUCACUGGGUAGAUUCAAACGGUCUGUAAACAGAUUGGAAAAAUAGCAUUUUUUUCAGUGAAUUCUAAUUUAAAUUUUCAUUUAUUUCAAUUAUGAAGGCAUGCAAACUUACAGAUGAUGGUGUCUUAAUAUUCAAUUUAUUAAGUUAUACAGUUAAAUCUUAGUUUUUCUUAACCCCCCUUUUAAAAACUUUAAAAAUUUUUAACAUAUGUGCAAAGAUAGGCUAAUAUAGUGAACUCACAUACUUCUCCCCCAGCUUCAGAAAUUAUCAACACCUGCUAAUCUUUUUUUUGAGACAAAGUCUCACUCUGUUGUCCAGGCUGGGUUGCAGUGGCAUGAUUAGCCUCGCAGCUGAGACUGCAGGCACGUGCCAGCAUGCCAGGUUUAUUUUUAAAUUUUUUUGUAGGGAUGGGGUCUUACUAUGUUGCCCAGGUUGGCCUUGAAAUCCUGGGCUCCAGCAAUCCUCCCAAAGAGCUGGAAUUAGAGGUGUGAGCCACCGUGCCCACCAGCACCAGCUAACCUUGUUUCAUCUGUGUUCUCUUCCCCUCCCACCUUGCCACAGGAUUGGUUUGAAGCAAAUCUCAGGCACUGUAUCAUUUCAUUCAUAGUACUUCAGGGUGUAUCUUUAAGAGACAGAAAUUCUUUUGUAAAACACAACCAUGAUACUUAAAAUUUUUAACAAUAACUCCUAAAUAUUCUAUUGGUCUUCAAAUUUUCUAAUUGUAUCAUAAAUGUUUAUUAAGUCCAAAUAAAGUCCACACAUUAAAUUUAUUGGUAUACCUCUCAAGUCUUCUUUCUUUCUUUUUCUUUCUUUUCUUCCUUUUCUUUUUUCCCUUCCUUCCUUCCUUUCUUUUCUUUCCUUUCCUUCCUUUCUUUCCUUUCUUUCUUCCUUUUCUUCCUUUCUUUCCUCCCUUCUCCUACCCUCCCCUCCCCUCUCUUUUCCUCUCCUCUCCUCUCACGGUGUUGCCCAGGCUGGAGUGCAGUAGAGUGACCUUGGCUCACUGCAACCUCUGCCUCCCGGGUUCAAGCAGUUCUCAUGCCUUAGCCUCCUGAGUAGCUGACACUACAGGUGCAUGCUACCACACCAGGCUAAUUUUUGUAAGUAGAGACAGGGUUUCGCCAUAUUGGCCAGGCUGGUCUGGAAUUCCUGACCUCAAGUGAUCUGCCCACCUCACCUUGGCCUCCCAACGUGCUGGGAUUAUAGGGGUGAGCCUCUGUGCCUGGCCCAAGUCUCUUUUAAUCUAAAGAAUCUAUAGAUUUUUCUCCCUCUUUCAUUCCUGCAAUUUAUUUGUCAAAGAACAAAUAGGAUUUUUUUUUCUUUCAGUGAGCAAAUAAACUAUUGUUUCCUUGCAAUUUAUUUUUUGAAGAACAUUUGUCCUGCGGAGUUUUCUACAUUUUAGACUUUUCUGGCUGUGUCUCUAUGUAUUUCCUGUGAACUGGUGUUUAGAUUUAGAGUACGUUUUCCAGAUAAAAUUCAGGCUGCCCAGCUAAAUUUGAAUUUCAGCUAAACAAUGAAUAAUUUUAUUAGUGUAAGUGUGCCCCCUGUAAUAUUUGGGCAUCCUGUAUUUUUUUCCUUUGAGACAGGAUCUCACUUUGUCACCCAGGCUGCAGUGCAGUGAUGCAAUCUCGGCUCACUGCAGCCUCAACCUCCUGAGCUCAAGUGAUCCUCCCACUUCAGCCUCCCAGGUAGCUGGGAUUACAGGUGCAUGCCACUAUGCUUGGCUAAUUUUUGUAUUUUUUGUAGAGACAGGGGUUUUGCCUGUUGCCCAGGCUGGUCUUGAACUCCUAAGCUCAAGCAAUAUGCCCACCUUAUCCUCCCAAAGUGCUGGGAUUAUAGGCGUGAGCCCCUGCGCUUAGCCCCUGUAUUUUUUUUUAAUCAUUCUGCAUUUUUAUUUGCUAAAUUUGACAACUUUAAGCUAGAGAAGUGAUCACACUCAGGAGUGGUUUUUUGGCAGGACUGUGUUCUAGGUGGUAUUGUGUACUUCCAGCAGGAGACGAAUGUCUGGCUGUUCCUCUUUUUGUGAUGUGAUGUGAUGUGAAGAUGAAUGGAUUCAGGUUUUAUUAAUAUCAGCCAGAUAGGCCGGGUGCACUGGCUUAUGCCUGUAAUCCCCGCACUUUGGGAGGCCGAGGCGGGUGGAUCCCUUGAGAUCAGGAGUUCGAC
rnacentral:lncRNA from 10 species